rnacentral:misc_RNA from 1 species
GAUGAAGAACGCAGUGAAAUGCGAUACGUAGUGUGAAUUGCAGAAUUCAGUGAAUCAUCGAAUCUUUGAACGCACAUUGCACCUCUCGGUAUUCCGGGAGGUAUGCCUGUUCGAGCGUCAUUUGUACCCUCAAGCUCUGCUUGGUGUUGGGUGUUUGUUCCGCCUCUGUGUGUGAACUCGCCUCAAAACAAUUGGCAGCCGGCGUACUUGUUUCGGAGCGCAGCACAUUUUGCGAUCCAGAUCAACGUACAGCGGCAUCCAAGAAGCCUUAUUUAACGCUCUUGACCUCGGAUCAGGUAGGGAUACCCGAUGAACUUAAGCAUAUCAAUAAGCGGAGGA